rnacentral:rRNA from 1 species
UGCUUACCAUGCAAGUCGAACGGUAAGGCCCCUUCGGGGGUACACGAGUGGCGAACGGGUGAGUAACACGUGGGUAAUCUGCCCUGCACUUCGGGAUAAGCCUGGGAAACNGGGUCUAAUACCGGAUAUGAACUCCUGCCGCAUGGUGGGGGUUGGAAAGUUUUUCGGUGCAGGAUGAGCCCGCGGCCUAUCAGCUUGUUGGUGGGGUAAUGGCCUACCAAGGCGACGACGGGUAGCCGGCCUGAGAGGGUGAUCGGCCACACUGGGACUGAGACACGGCCCAGACUCCUACGGGAGGCAGCAGUGGGGAAUAUUGCACAAUGGGCGAAAGCCUGAUGCAGCGACGCCGCGUGGGGGAUGACGGUCUUCGGAUUGUAAACCCCUUUCAGUAGGGACGAAGCGCAAGUGACGGUACCUGCAGAAGAAGCACCGGCUAACUACGUGCCAGCAGCCGCGGUAAUACGUAGGGUGCGAGCGUUGUCCGGAAUUACUGGGCGUAAAGAGCUCGUAGGCGGUUUGUCACGUCGUCUGUGAAAUCCCUCGGCUUAACCGGGGGCGUGCAGGCGAUACGGGCAGACUUGAGUACUACAGGGGAGACUGGAAUUCCUGGUGUAGCGGUGAAAUGCGCAGAUAUCAGGAGGAACACCGGUGGCGAAGGCGGGUCUCUGGGUAGUAACUGACGCUGAGGAGCGAAAGCAUGGGUAGCGAACAGGAUUAGAUACCCUGGUAGUCCAUGCCGUAAACGGUGGGCGCUAGGUGUGGGGUCCUUCCACGGACUCCGUGCCGUAGCUA